GCGAUCGUAGUCUAGCUUGGUAGGACAUGACGUUGCCAACGUCAAGGCUCGGGUUCAAAUCCCGACGGUCGCA
rnacentral:tRNA from 1 species